rnacentral:sRNA from 12 species
AUCCUAUACAGAUGUAUUCAACGCUAGCCAGUUGGGCAUCUCCCUGUAGGAUGAAGUUUAAUUAGAAGUCCUAGCAACAAUUCUUAUUGUGUGGCUACGGUCGAAAUGAGAUGAGUUAGGAUGGAAGAGGUUAACCGUAAGACCUUGAGUUGCAAAACUCUAAAAUUGAGCUAGAGAUGUGGAUUUUCUCAUUUUCUAGUUACGGCUAG